rnacentral:rRNA from 1 species
AUUAAAAGAUUUAUUUUUAUGUUGAGGUUAUUAAGUUUUUGGAAAAGAAGAUUUAGGUUUUAUUAUUGUUAAGAAAAAAUUUUUUUUAUUAUAGUUAACUAGUAUUGUGAAAGAACAUAAGAAAAUAAUUAAAAGAAGAAUUAAUUUUUUGUACCUUGUGUAUCAGGGUUUAUAAAAAAUUUCUAUAAAUAUAGGUUUCCCGAAUUUAGAAGAGCUAAAUUUAUAUAUAUGUUAUUGUUGCAUAAAUAUUUUUAAUAUAAAUUUAGUAAUGAAACGUUAUUCGUUUCUAAAUAUAUCUGGUUUUUUAAGAAAUAAAUUUAAUUUACCUUGCUUUAAUCUAAAUUUUUAAUUUGUAAAUUAUUUGGUUUGGUUAAGGAAUAUAUUUGGGGAUGAGCUCAAAUAUAAAUUAUUAAAAAUGAAAGAUAUUUUCUUUGAUAAGUAGGAUUAGAAGUUUCUAUCAUAAAAAGAGUGUUAUAACUAAUCUAUUAAAAAAAUUAUUUAUAUUUAUUUUAAUUUUUAUAUUAAAAUUUAUUUUUGAAUUUUGUUUAUUUAGUAAUAAUGAUAGAAUUAGUAUAAAUUUUUGUAGAUUUAAUUUGAAUUUUUAGAUUAGACUAAGGAACUCGGCAAAAUAUUUUUCACCUGUUUAUUAAAAACAUGGCCUUUUGUUUAAAAUUUAAGGUCAAUCCUGCCCACUGAGAAGUUAAAUGGCUGCGGUAAUCUGACCGUGCAAAGGUAGCAUAAUCAUUAGUUUUUUAAUUGAAAGCUGGAAUGAAUGGUUUGAUGAGAAAAUAGCUGUCUCUGUCUAAAUUUUAGAAUUUUAUUUUUAAGUAAAAAAGCUUAAAUAAUAUUGUGGGACGAGAAGACCCUAUAGAGUUUUAUAAAUUUAUAUAUUCAAAUUUUUAGGAUUAUCAUCUUGAAUAUUAAAAUUUAUUGGGUUGGGGAGACUAAAAAAUUAAAUAAACUUUUUUAAAUAAAAACAUAAAUUUAUGAAUAUUUGAUCCACAAAUUGUGAUUAUAAGAAAAAAUUACCUUAGGGAUAACAGCGUAAUUCUUUUUAAGAGUUCAAAUCGAAAUAAGAGUUUGCGACCUCGAUGUUGGAUUAAAAUUAAUUUUUGGUGUAGAAGCUAAAAAUUUUAGGUCUGUUCGACCUUUAAAAUUUUACAUGAUCUGAGUUUAAACCGGCGUGAGCCAGGUUGGUUUCUAUCUUCAAUUAAUUAAAAUAUUUUAGUACGAAAGGACCAAAUAUUUGGUAAAUUACUUUAUAAUUGAAUAUUAUU